ACUACAAUACAGAGUGAAUUAAAGCAUAAAAAUGUGCAUAAAAUGCGCCUGUUGAGGCUUGUGUCUAAGACCUUGAUGCCUCUCCAUAGUCCAUACUAUGUCAAAGACUUCGCCGUUUGUAUCCUCCUGUUCUGCUGCUCUCUAGAGCAUAUAAACGAAGAUGAAAGAAUCAGGAAGAACAAGCUUGUUUUGCUGAAGAAAAUUUCAGAUCUGCCAAGAGGCAUAGCGGACCUCUCAGUUUUGCCUGGAUUCUAGAUUUUGUCAACCAUUCAUCAGUAAAGCAUACUUUUAGGAUUUUGGUAAGUCCCAGAGCAUAGAAGUAUGGAAGGAAGCUUGGAAAGGUCGAAGGAUUGAGAAGCGUUAUUGAUACAAAGUACACAGGUCGUGUAAGCACAACCACGGACCCGUGUAACAUUCUGUCAGAAGAAAUCCAGAGAACCGAGGAAGAAACAAAGUAUACGGGCCGUGUAACUUGAACCGUGUAAAUCCUGGAGACCCAUGCAACCUUCUGUGCCAAUGUAAAACAUAUCCAUUCAACUCUAGUAAGUUACACGGCCCUGGGCCGUAUAGUAAUACACGGUCCGUGUAUCCGUCGACAAUCAGUUUCCUGAUUUUGCUCCAGUUGCAGUUUUUGACAGAGAGAAAGACUUUUAACACCUCAGGGACUCUAAAAACCUAACCCUAGGCCAUUUAUUAUAAAUAGAAGAGGCAGCAGUCGACACAAGGGAUCAGACCUUCGUUCUCCAUUCACAUUCUAGAAUUCUUCAAUUUUCUUCUUUAAUUUUCUGUAAGCCAUGAACAUGAGUGGCUAAGUUUUUAAUUUAGUUCAAGGGAUUCAAGUUCUUUUGCAUGAUUUGUGAGACCAGGUUCUUAAUUUAAUUUAUAUCUUUUUGAAUAUCUAUUAUUUUCUAAUUUCAUUGA